UACAGAGGUCUCAAGCGUUGUUCGGAUUCAUUGGGCGUAAAGGGUGCGUAGGUGGUGCUGUAAGUCAGGUGUGAAAUCUCGGGGCUCAACCCCGAAACUGCACUUGAUACUGCAGUGCUUGAGGACUGGAGAGGAGAUUGGAAUUCAUGGUGUAGCAGUGAAAUGCGUAGAUAUCAUGAGGAAGACCAGUGGCGAAGGCGGAUCUCUGGACAGUUCCUGACACUGAGGCACGAAGGCCAGGGGAGCAAACGGG
rnacentral:rRNA from 1 species